rnacentral:tRNA from 1 species
GGUUGUGGUUCAGUGGGAGAGUGCCUGCCUAGCAGCAGCGAGGCCCUGGGUUCGAUCCUCAGCACCA